GGUCUCUCUUUCUCCACAAGUUUUCAAGUAAUUAGUUCAAGUAAGCUUAUUUACAGCUGUUGUCUAUGUGACCUAUGAACCCACAAUUUCCCCUUUAGAA